rnacentral:rRNA from 1 species
UACGGGGGGGGCAAGCGUUGUUCGGAAUUACUGGGCGUAAAGGGUUCGUAGGUGGCCUGCUAAGUCGGACGUGAAAUCCCUCGGCUCAACCGGGGAACUGCGUCCGAUACUGGUGGGCUUGAGUGCAGGAGAGGAACGCGGAAUUCCAGGUGUAGCGGUGAAAUGCGUAGAUAUCUGGAAGAACACCAAUGGCGAAGGCAAUGUUCUGGCUCGUUUCUGACGCUCAGGUGCGAAAGCCAGGGGAGCGAACGGG